UAUACACGGGGAGCUGGUGUGACCGGCUGAGAGGACGCUUGAGCGUCGACCCGAUGAACCUGUACGGAUAAUGCCGGCGGAGGGAGGUCUAUAUGUU
rnacentral:ncRNA from 1 species